rnacentral:misc_RNA from 1 species
AGUCGUAACAAGGUCUCCGUAGGUGAACCUGCGGAGGGAUCAUUACUGAGUGCGGGCCCCCGGCCCGACCUCCAACCCCAUGUUAUCUGACACUGUUGCCUCCGGGGCGACCCGGCCUUCGGGCGUCGGGCCCGGCUGGAGCACUUCAACUCCGCAUCUGUGCGUCUGAGUAAAUGAUAAUCAAUCAAA